CGGGGGGGCAAGCGUUGUUCGGAAUUACUGGGCGUAAAGGGCUCGUAGGCGGCCAACUAAGUCGGAUGUGAAAUCCCCAGGCUCAACUUGGGAACUGCAUCCGAUACUGGAUGGCUUGAAUCCGGGAGAGGGAUGCAGAAUUCCAGGUGUAGCGGUGAAAUGCGUAGAUAUCUGGAGGAAUACCGGUGGCGAAGGCGGCAUCCUGGACCGGCAUUGACGCUGAUGAGCGAAAGCUAGGGGAGCAAACGGGAUUAGAUACCCCGGUAGUCCUAGCCCUAAACGAUGAAUGCUUGGUGUGGCGGGUAUCGAUCCCUGCCGUGCCGAAGCUAACGCAUUAAGCAUUCCGCCUGGGGAGUACGGUCGCAAGGCUG
rnacentral:rRNA from 1 species